ensembl:lncRNA
CUAUCCCACUGAGUCUGAGCCGUAAGCAUAAUCCUCAGCUGGAGCAAAACAUCUGCGUGUGGAGAGAAGGGAGAGGGGGAAAAGUCUCAGCAGGGUGGACGGCAGAUGGUGACACUGCAGCAGCACUUCUCCAGCAUGGAGGAGACUGUGAGAACUCUGCUACAGAAUCAGGACACAAUGGAGGGGCCCAAAGUGGAUCCGCUGGAUUUAAUGAAAGCAUACAAGGAUAAACUCCUGGAGGAAAUGUGGAAGCAGCAGGACAGUCUGGAGGGUCCCACAGCCACAGCGGCAGAGAUGUCUGCCUCACCAGAGGCUGGCGGUAGUUCAGAAGGAAACUCAGAGGACAGCAAUCCCCUGCUCGAGCGCCUUCGAGCACUAGAGGUAAAGUGGAAUGCACGGUCUACUUCUUACCCUUUCUCCUGUUCCACACACUGCUACACCUACUGUUUAAAUAACGUUUCUCUUUUGGCUUAGAACACAAAGACUGAACAAGUUAGGUCAUUGUGUUUUACCAUGCAUCCACUUCAUUUUUGAGAAAAUAGGAGUGUCCAAUGUAACUAAAAGUCGUCCUGAAGGCAUAAACCAAUCAGAAGAGAGAACAGAAUUGUUUUAAUUAUUAAAUAACUGACAAAUGCAUGUAUAUUUAGAGAUAAAGUUUUACUUAAUGGACAAUGUAAACUAUGGUGGCCCUGAAAUGGAAAUUACACCAACAAAUCACUAAAUGCAAAAACAUAUUAAACAUCACAAUUAAAAAAGCAAAACAAGUACUAUAAAAACAUUACAUCUUAAAAAUCAGCCAAAUAAAAUUAAAUGAAAUAAAAUUGAAAAAAUUUGAAAAACGUAAGUGAAAUUCCAGAAAUCAAAAUGAAAUGUUAAAAAAUGAAACACAAUAAUAAACAGUAAAAGGUAGGUAAAGGGUAGAACCCCCGGGUGGUGGUGGGCGGCUUUUCUGGGGCUGGGGGUGCUGUCCGGGGGCGGGGUCACGGACUGGGCCACCUGGUGGGGGGAAAACUACAAUUCCCUUCAUUGAUGCUAUGCUUCAUUGAGUAAAAGAUGGAGAAAAAAAACUAUUUCAGCUUCACCUACAAUAUGUUAAAAUGACAGCUGCACACAUAAUUUCUUUGUGUUAUAUUUUACUAUUGAUCAAAAUAAACAGAAGUGGUGGUAUAAAACAUUUUUAUGUGGUUUUAUCCACACUAACAGCACUAAUGUCCCUUUAAAAACACACUGCAAACUCAUUCAUAAAGGUCAUGUUGGUUCCUUGAUGCUGCAACUGUGGACUCAAUUCAAGCCAAUCUAUAUAGUGUGUAGGAUUCUGACUUUUCCUUCCUUAGUCCAAUGAACUGAGGAAUUUCUAUUAAAGAAAAACAGAGACAUUUACCAAAAAGACUACAUGUUUUAUUACUGCUUGUAGCUUUUUUGUUCAAAUGUGAUCUGUACGUUUUCUCAGUCACAUUUAGCUUUAAGGUUUCAUAUGUUCCAUGCUGCAAUACAUUGUUCUUUUUUACUUGUGUGCGUUUGUACCUGCAGGCGGAGAACUCUGCUUUGUCACUGGAAAAUGACAACCAGAGAAAACAGUAUGAACGCUGUUUGGAUGAGGUGAGGGCUUUCACAGCACUAUGUUCCCUUUUAUAUAGUAACCACACGUUUACACUGCCUCACCGUGAAGCCAUCAACAUGUUGGUGGGUUUAAAAUAUCUUUGACAACUGACAUAAUAGCUCCCAUGCUACCUGAGUAUGGCUGUAGGUCAAUAAAAUACUCAAAUAAAAUCCUCAUACUUCACUGUAUUUGGCCUUGUGGAUUUUUGCCCUUAAAAGAACUGACAUGUCCAAAGUCCCCCUGGAAAUAUGAAAAAUCAAGGCUUCUUUGAAAAUAACCAUUUCCACACACAGCAAUGUGUGAGUGUGACCUUUAACAUAAGUUUUAACACAAAAAGAAUAUUUCUACAGAAGAAGCUGCUCCUAAUGGAAACACUUUAGGGCACUUGAUGUUCAAAAGGUUGAACAGGAAGCAACACUUGUCCAGCUAAAACCUGAAUGUGACACAAAGCAGAGUGGAAGGUGAUCCUGACACUUUCGCUGAUGCUGUUAAUGCAUGGAUUCAGAGACUGAAGGGUUUCGUCCUUUGAGGCCAAACAGUGAAUCACACAACAUCACUCGAGCAUAUAGGUUUUUCUGUCGCACACCUCCAUUAUUUUCUUGCACCCUUGACUAAUUCAAUUGAUUUUAAUUCAAUUCAGUUUUAUUAUAAAGUAACACAUCUGAGGAUGUUUCAAAGUGCUACACAUAAAGCAAAAAGAUUAGAGCUUUAGUGAUUCAGUAUGGAUCACUUUAACCCUUGUGCUACCCCACCCUUGCAUUGACGUGUUCUCCCUACGAUGACAAAGGUGGAAAGAUUUCAUGUAAUCCAUGGACACCAGUGAAGAUCACAAAUCAUUGAAGAAAAAAGGUUCAGAGCACUGUCUAGUGGGUCUAGAUGACCCAACUCCCAAUGAUAAAGUGCCUAGGAUAGCACAAGGGUUAAUAAAGGCAGAUUAUCUUAAACAAAUGGCCCAUAUAAUUGACCAACAGACUACAUGAAAGGGUUUUUGGUGUAAUUCCCCUAUCUAGCAACAUCAAGGCAACCAUGGAAAGACAAAAUUCCCUCGACAUGAAAAUUAGAGCAGCAGAACCAGACUCAGUAUAAUGGUGACCAUAUGCUUUAAUAGUUUAGUGUCUAAGAGAAAGAGACAUAAACAACAAAAUAAAAGAAAUUUGUUAUAAAACAACCUUACAACGGACUGGCAACCCAUCCAGGGUGUAUCCCGCCUCUGCCUGGGAUAGGCUCCAGCAACCCCAUGAUGUCAAAAGGGAUUAAAAAUGUUCAGGAAAUUAUUGAUGUAGUUAGACAAAUAGGCAAGCUAGUAAUUAUAGUUAUAAGACUAAGCAGAUAGACAAAAACAAAAUCCCUGAAACAUCUGGUAUUGGACAAAAGAUGCAAGUUAGUGAUUGGAGCAGUUUGGGACCAGGAAGCAGAUAAACUCAAAGUCACGGAACAGUUUUUAGAAGACAAAUUAUUUUUCAGUAACUGCUGCAGUGCAAGAACACGAUGAAGAUGAAUAGAACUCUACAUCCCCAGAACCCUUUGCUAUGAAGCCAACACGGUCAGUUAUUCCUGAUCUCUCACUUUGAAUCAGUAAGAGGAAAGGAAUAACUGUUAUAAAACAGAAUAAAUAUGCUGGUAACUCCAACAGCAAGAAUACAGAAUUAAGAUGGGGAAAUGCUGUGAAGACAAAAUGUACAAAUUUUUAACAGCAACAAUGAAAACACAGAAAAAUGACAGAAAAAUGCAAGAAAUACUGGAACAUCUGCUAACAUAACAUAAGUCAGUGACACCACAAAUGACCUAAGUUCAUGGGUAAAUAUAAACAGAAUAAAGAUUUAAAGUAGAGAAUGUGUGGAGAAAUGCCACUAAUGCAUUCAAAACAACACCCUCAGAAAGGCUUUGCAACCAAGAUGUUUAUUUUAUUUUGAAAAUGCUUGGAAAAAGUAGGUCAGUAUAUUGAUGGGUUUGUAGUCAUAAGAAUCAUUUUAAUCCAAAUAUAUUUGUUGUUUUCUGUUUUAUUAUUGUUUUUUAUGCCUUUUGCAUUCAAGCACAUUAGAUUUUGUCUCAGGGGAGAAUUUGUUAUUGAGCAUAUGAAAGAUUUCAAUUGACUGUAACAUUUAAAUAAACAGAAAAAAACACUUCAAGAUGUUUUGUAUUUUUUUGUAUUUUUUUUUCCUCACAGAGGAAAAAAUAACUAAUAAAAAUGUUUCUACUACUAGAAAUCUGGAGAUGAAGUUUGAAUUGUAUGUGUGUUUUCUCUCGAGUUUGAGUUAGUGAUGCAACUGCAUUCCAUUUUGCAGCUACACAUUCUGAUGUAUUUCACAAGUCUCUUUCAUGGUGUUUGAUAUUAUUUACAGUCUCCCAGCAUCUAUCAAAGUUACUAAACACAGAACACAUUCAGGACACUCAAAAUAUCUUUUUAACUUACAUUUCUCUCUUUU